UACAGAGGGUGCAAGCGUUGUUCGGAAUUAUUGGGCGUAAAGCGCGUGUAGGCGGCUUUGCAAGUCGGGCGUGAAAUCCCACGGCUCAACCGUGGAAGUGCACUCGAAACUGCAUAGCUAGAGUCCUGGAGAGGAAGGUGGAAUGCUUGGUGUAGAGGUGAAAUUCGUAGAUAUCAAGCGGAACACCGGUGGCGAAGGCGGCCUUCUGGACAGUGACUGACGCUGAGACGCGAAAGCGUGGGGAGCAAACA
rnacentral:rRNA from 1 species